CCUACGGGAGGCAGCAGUGGGGAAUAUUGGACAAUGGGCGCAAGCCUGAUCCAGCCAUACCGCGUGUGUGAAGAAGGCCUUCGGGUUGUAAAGCACUUUAAGUAAGGAAGAAAAGAGUAUUGUUAAUACCAAUACUCCGUGACAUUACUUACAGAAUAAGGACCGGCUAAUUCCGUGCCAGCAGCCGCGGUAAUACGGAAGGUCCAAGCGUUAAUCGGAAUUACUGGGCGUAAAGCGCGCGUAGGUGGUUUAUUAAGUUGGGUGUGAAAGCCCCGGGCUCAACCUGGGAACUGCAUCCAAAACUGAUUCACUAGAGUACGAAAGAGGAAAGUAGAAUUCACAGUGUAGCGGUGGAAUGCGUAGAUAUUGUGAAGAAUACCGAUGGCGAAGGCAGCUUUCUGGUUCUGUACUGACACUGAGGUGCGAAAGCGUGGGUAGCGAACAGGAUUAGAUACCCUGGUAGUCCACGCCGUAAACGAUGACAACUAGCUGUUGGGAAGCUAUGCUUUUCAGUGGCGCAGCUAACGUCUUAAGUUGUCCGCCUGGGGAGUACGGCCGCAAGGUUAAAACUCAAAUGAAUUGACGGA
rnacentral:rRNA from 1 species